CUACGGGUCGCUCCAGUCGAGAAUCUUUCCCAAUGGACGAAAGUCUGAGGAUGCGACGCCGCGUGGAGGAUGAAGGCCCUAGGGUCGUAAACUUAUUUUAUUGAGGAGGAACGCUUUAACGGUGAAUAAUCGUUAGAGCUUGACUGUACUCAAUGAAUAAGCCACGGCUAACUCCGUACCAGCAGCCGCGGUAAUACGGAGGUGGCAAGGGUUACUCGGUUUGACUGGGUGUAAAGGGUCCGCAGGCGGCCGCGCAAGUGGAAGGUGAAAUCUUUCGGCUUAACCGAAAAACUGCCUUUCAAACUGCACGGCUUGAGGAUGGAAGAGGAGAGUGGAACUGUUGGUGUAAAGGUGAUAUUUGUGGAUAUCAACAGGAACGCCCGUGGAGAAGUCGGCUCUCUGGUCCAUACCUGACGCUGAGGGACGAAAGCUAGGGGAGCGAACAGGAUUAGAUACCCCCGUAGUC
rnacentral:rRNA from 1 species